CUAGAGCUGGAAGACUUCUCCGUGCAACCCAGACUCCUCCCCAAGCGCUGCAGCCAGCCUCCCGCCACACGGGAAAACGAAACUGAGCUUUCUAAAGAAAGGAAACCGAAAUUUUGCAGAGAUGGAAAUUUCUCUAAGGCGUUCUCAGCGGACACAACAUCUUUGUUUGUAUGUGGUGCUGAGGAUGGAACCCAGUGCCCUGCGCAUGCCAGAUGGCUACAAACAUUCUAGCAAGAACUAACACUGGAAAGGGGGUCAAGGAACACAGAGUGCGUGGCAGGAGGUGAGAUUUUAAAUAGUGUGACCGUAAAGAUGACCAUAAAAAGCUUCAUUGACAGUGUGAACUUGGAUGAAAGCCUGUAGAUGGUAUAAGGCUUAAUUACAAAAUAAACAUCAGUGAACCUCCCUCCUGUUUUACGAGCUGAAGCAUGAUCGCUCCUGAAGUUGUGGGGUUUCUUUCGUUUUUAGACUGCUUCUGCCCCAUGAUGAGACCAGGCUCCUCAAACUUGGAUGUGCUCUGACUCUGGGCGGGGGGGGGGGGGGUAUUGCCAAAACCCAGGUUUCACUUCAGUGUCGGAUUCCGAGAUGGGUCUGAGGUUCUGCAUCUGCACCCCUGGAGUAGGAAGGGCUAGUCCCCCAGUAGUUAAGAAGGUGGGAUCCCCUAGGGGACAUGCCCAGCCACACCCCUGAUUGGCAGGGGACCCCUGGGGCUUUCUGGGGGAGGAAAGACACCUUCUGCAGGCACCAGAACCCGGGAUUCAGACAGGUCCCCACCAGCCCCACGGGCUUGAAGGAGCGGACAGAGGCUGAUGGAGGAAGGAAAGGGGUGUCUGAGAGGGAGUCCCAGGAGGAAGCCCCCUGGCAGAGAGGGUCUCCCUGACGGCUGGCUGGAGAGAACAGGGACUGGGGCCAGGAACAAACUGAGCUGGGCUUGGAGUCCGGGUCCUCAUUGCCCUGGGUACAGAGGGCUGUGGGGUGAAGACAGGAAGGGAGGCCCAAACAGCUCUGCCAAGGGAUCCUCCCCUGGCAGCUCAACAGGAGGUCCUGCAGGCUCUGGCCAGAGUGCCCAGGACAGCAAAAAGCCUCCCAGGGAGCUGGUGGCCCAGUGUGGAAGGCCUGCAGAUGGUGUCCAGGGCCCUUCCCUGCAAAGAGCAGUCCUGCUUCUGGACCUGGAGAGCGAGCCCCUGCCUAGAGUCCACAGCCCCUGUCAGAUGGCAGGGCCUCUUUGGGGAACUUGGUAAAGGGGACCCUUGGAGAAAACGACUUCCGGCUGGCCUGAUGGGGGUGGGGCCCUGUGGCCUCAGGACUGCAGGCGGAUGGGCUGCCAACAGGGCCACUUCCCACUGCUCCUCCGUCCCUGUGGGGCACCUCCUCUGUGCUGAGCUCACUCGGAUCCAGGUGGACAGUGGAUCCAGGUGGACAGUGAGGAGCUCUGCUCAAGAGCUUCUGGGACAGCAGGGGAGAUGAUGACAGUGGCUGGGAGGGUGGGGCUGAGUGGCCAGGGCACCUUGGUCAUUUGUGUCACCCUGAGAAGAGCCCAGGCACAGGGGCUGCAUUUGGGCCCCACCCCCAGGAUCUGCCUCGUUGGGGUCCCUCUGUCACCUGAGGCUUAUCCAGGUGGGCAGGGCCACCUGUGGUCCCUCAGGAAGGAAACGGAGGGGGGGGGGUCACCUAGCAAUGAGGCAGAGCGAGUGGGUGUCCUCUGAACUGCGGUGGCGGCCAGCCACGUUGGGAUAUGCCCUUACCUGCCCAGGGAGGCCCAGGCUCCAGGGCAGGGGUGUCACAGGCACUGUGGAGAGCCACCUGCCACCCAGACUGUUCCCCAGCCCAAGGCCCAGGAACAAGAUCUGACCAGAGACAUUCAUGGAAGUAGGGGCUUGUGACCACAGGGCAGCCUCUGGUUCCUUUCCCCCUCCCCCAGGUGGCCAGGGUGAACCCCCAGGUUCCUUUCUGCCUUUUCCUGUGGGGAAAGGGUGUGGUCCUUGAAGAGUCAGCAUUUCUUGGGGGAGUGGCCGGGUGGCAGCUCAGAGACACUUGCUCAAAGAGGCAGCUUCCUGGCCCCAGCACCCUGCCCCUCACCCCCCUCUGCUCUAUCUCCC